rnacentral:lncRNA from 1 species
CUGCAUUAUCGACGUGCAUGUUGGAUAAUUUUGGGAUUGUAUGCUUACUAAUUGCUCUGAUGCCUCGACUUCAGAUUCUGUUGUAAUUGUUGCGCUCUCCAGAUUUGAGAUGGGCAUCAAAUACAUACAAUUUAGGCUACUGCUUGGUGAGGAAAUUUACACCAUUUUGCUUCCUAACUGGCCAAGUAUUAACUGGAAUAUAUAAUAACUUGCACAUUUCAUUCUACAGAAAUAAUGGACUUGGUUUCUUAUAUGGAUAGCAUGAGGCGCUCGUUGUCUACAAGGUUGGGACAAUUAGCAUCAUCAGCUGGCAAUCUUAUUAGGAAUUUGUUCCCUCUUUUCACAGCACCUUAAUAGCCUGUUCAUUAGUUAUGAAUUUGCUUCCCUAAUAAGAAUUUGGGAAAUUUUGUCCCUGAAGCGUAGAUCAUAAGUGUUUGGGGCAAAUAUAGUUAAAGGUAGCAAUUCAAAGAUUGGAGUAGUUUUGAGGGGAAACAUUCCUCGGUGCCCCGUGUGUUUAUUUAUGGAAUGUCUGAGGAUGCUCAAGCAUAUGUAUUGCUGUAUGCCUGGGAAAACUGCAGGUUAUAAUACGAUAAACAUUGAUGAUGUAAAGAAGGCUAUUGAAUUGACUGAACUAUUAAUAGAC